GCCCUAAACACCUCUCUCUUCUUUCCCCUGACCUCUCUCUCUCUCGAUCGCACACAUGCAGAUUACGGAGGUUCCGUUUCUUCGGUGCCGUCCUCUCGAGUCUCGACGGCGGUGCCUGCCUCUCUCACCCUCUUCUCUCCUCUCUCACCAUCUCGCUUCGACCAUCUUUCCGUCUCCUCUGAAGAUUCGGAACCUCCAUCUCUCGUCUUUUCUCCCUCGCCGCCUCCCUCUCAUAUCCGGCGGCCUCAAUCACAAGCCAUCACCGCCGCCUUUUUUUCCAUACCUCGAACUCUCAAAAUCCACUAUGCGUUCUCUAUGUAAUCACGAAAAAUCCCCAAAUUUUAGAAACCCUAUGUCUCUCCUCCUUUCCUACCGAUGCCGCCUGCCAGAGCCCCUGCAUCUCCCUCUCUUUCUCGGCGCCACUCCUCGGCGACAGCAGCAGGAUCGCUGCCUUCUUCUCCGACCGACAGCAGCGUCACUGCCCCUCUCUUUCUCGGCGCCGCCGCCUGACCAGUGGGGAACUCUUUGCUUACAAUGGUGGUUCAUGGGCUGAUUGUUAAGAGCGGGUUCGUGUUGAACAGUUUUGUGGGAAUCCAGAGCCUCUGGCGUGAGGCAGCAGCUCAUGCCGGCGACGAGAAGGCGUCCUCGACGGCAGCGCCUUCAUUGACACUAUUUAGAUAUGCAAAUGACCCUAUCACUUGAAAUUUCAAUUUUAAUUGACACUCUUACGUUAUAAUAAUGCCAAUGUACGAUAACAACUUAGAUUGUUUCAUUAUAUAAAGGAUAUAGUUUCAUUCCAA